rnacentral:rRNA from 1 species
AUUGAACGCUGGCGGAAUGCUCUACACAUGCAAGUCGAACGGCAGCACGGACUUCGGUCUGGUGGCGAGUGGCGAACGGGUGAGUAAUACAUCGGAACGUGCCCAAUCGUGGGGGAUAACGUAGCGAAAGCUACGCUAAUACCGCAUACGAUCUAAGGAUGAAAGCGGGGGAUCGCAAGACCUCGCGCGAUUGGAGCGGCCGAUGGCAGAUUAGGUAGUUGGUAGGGUAAAGGCCUACCAAGCCGACGAUCUGUAACUGGUCUGAGAGGAUGAUCAGCCACACUGGGACUGAGACACGGCCCAGACUCCUACGGGAGGCAGCAGUGGGGAAUUUUGGACAAUGGACGCAAGUCUGAUCCAGCCAUUCCGCGUGCAGGAUGAAGGCCCUCGGGUUGUAAACUGCUUUUGUACAGAACGAAAAGGCUCUGGUUAAUACCUAGUGCUCAUGACGGUACUGUAAGAAUAAGCACCGGCUAACUACGUGCCAGCAGCCGCCGUAA